CCAGUCCAAGACAUGCAGUCGCGAAUACUAGAUUACAUGAGCAUCCUUACACAAUAACACCAUUGUUAGCUGUGGAGUUUGUCUAGUUAUCGUGUUCCAUUUGCCCAGGGAUAGGCUUUCAUUGGACACUGUUACCUCUUAGAUGAAAAAGCUUGGAGAGAAGCAAAGAAAUAUAUGUAUAGCUGGAUUUAACCAUUUUUGAAUUGUUCUCUGAUGGGCCAAUCAGAUAUGAUCAGGUCUAUAUUGGACAAUAAGGAUCCUGAUCAUCCAAAUUCUUAUGUG
rnacentral:lncRNA from 1 species